rnacentral:rRNA from 1 species
GGUAAGGGAGGGAGAGGUGGCGUGUUAAGGUAGAGGGUGUAACCAGUGUGUUGAAUUAGUGGUGGAAAAGAGCAGUGAGGCGGCUUAGUGAGUCGAGCGUGAAAGCCCUCGGCGCAACCGAGGAAGUGCGCCCGAAACUGCUGAGCGUGCGUGCCGGGGAGGAUGGCGGAAUUCGCCAAGUAGAGGUGAAAUUCUUAGGUAUGGGGAGUAACACCGGUGGCGAAGGCGGCCAUCUGGACGGUAACUGACGCUGAGACGCGAAAGCGUGGGUAGCAAACAGGAUUAGAUACCCCUGUAGUC